rnacentral:rRNA from 1 species
UACGUAGGGGGCUAGCGUUGUCCGGAAUCAUUGGGCGUAAAGCGCGUGUAGGCGGCCCGGUAAGUCCGCUGUGAAAGUCGGGGGCUCAACCCUCGGAAGCCGGUGGAUACUGUCGGGCUCGAGUACGGAAGAGGCGAGUGGAAUUCCUGGUGUAGCGGUGAAAUGCGCAGAUAUCAGGAGGAACACCAGCGGCGAAGGCGGCAUCCUGGACUGGUCCUGACACUCAGGAGCGAAAGCGUGGGGAGCGAUCCGG